AUUGAACGCUGGCGGCAGGCCUAACACAUGCAAGUCGAGCGGAUGAAGGGAGCUUGCUCCUGGAUUCAGCGGCGGACGGGUGUGUAAUGCCUAGGAAUCUGCCUGGCAGUGGGGGAUAACGUCCUGAAACGGGCGCUAAUACCGCCUACGUCCUGCGGGUGCAAGUGGGGGAUCUUCGGACCUCACGCUCUCAGAUGAGCCUAGGUCGGAUUAGCUAGUUGGUGGGGUAAAGGCCUACCUAGGCGACGAUCCGUAACUGGUCUGAGGGGAUGAUCAGUCACACGGGAGGUGAGACAGGGUCCAGACUCCUACGGGAGGCAGCAGUGGGGAAUGUUAGACAGUGGGCGAAAGCCUGAUACAACCAGGGCGAGUGUGUGAAGAAGGUCUUCGGAUUGUGAAGCAGGUUAAGUUGGGAGGAAGGGCAGUAAGUUAAUACCUUGCUGUUUUGACGUUACCAACAGAAUAAGCACCGGCUAACUUCGUG
rnacentral:rRNA from 1 species